rnacentral:rRNA from 1 species
AGGGAAUCUUCCACAAUGGACGCAAGUCUGAUGGAGCAACGCCGCGUGAGUGAAGAAGAUCUUCGGAUCGUAAAGCUCUGUUGUUGGUGAAGAAGGAUAGAGGCAGUAACUGGUCUUUAUUUGACGGUAAUCAACCAGAAAGUCACGGCUAACUACGUGCCAGCAGCCGCGGUAAUACGUAGGUGGCAAGCGUUGUCCGGAUUUAUUGGGCGUAAAGCGAGCGCAGGCGGAAUGAUAAGUCUGAUGUGAAAGCCCACGGCUCAACCGUGGAACUGCAUCGGAAACUGUCAUUCUUGAGUGCAGAAGAGGAGAGUGGAACUCCAUGUGUAGCGGUGGAAUGCGUAGAUAUAUGGAAGAACACCAGUGGCGAAGGCGGCCUCUGGUCUGCAACUGACGCUGAGGCUCGAAAGCAUGGGUAGCGAACAGGAUUAGAUACCCUGUAGUCCAUGCCGUAAACGAUGAGCGCUAG